rnacentral:rRNA from 1 species
UACAGAGGGUGCAAGCGUUGUUCGGAAUUAUUGGGCGUAAAGAGCGUGUAGGCGGUUUGGUAGGUCCGUUGUGAAAACUCGAGGCUCAACCUCGAGACGCCGGCGGAAACCAUCAGGCUAGAGUCCGGAAGAGGAGAGUGGAAUUCCUGGUGUAGCGGUGAAAUGCGCAGAUAUCAGGAAGAACACCCGUGGCUAAGGCGGCUCUCUAGUACGGUACUGACGCUGAGACGCGAAAGCGUGGGGAGCGAACAGG